rnacentral:lncRNA from 1 species
AAAACAUAGUACUUAGUUUAUAAUUAAGAGCAAUCUUGAAGUCCAGUGUGAAUUGUACCAAAUCUACCAAACUUAAAGCUUGCUCAGAACUUCACUCUUAAGAAUCAAGUUCACAAUAGAUUGGCUUAAAUGCUAUCUGAGUUCUCUUCCUUCUCUGAAAAUUAAAGACAAGAAUCUUAGUGACAAAAUUGUACAGCUUAGAAUUCCAUAAAUAAGUGUACUAAGACCAACUUUGACUAAUCUCUGGAAGCAGAAAAGUAAGCAAAAGCCACUAUUUAGGAGUCAUGACCUACUUACAUCUUUAACAUCUUUUUAGUUAAACUUUUCUACCUUUAUUAGUCAUUGGUACUUGCCAUAAGUUGAUAAUGUG